CGGGAUGUGGCGCAGUCCGGUUAGCGUACACGUCUGGGGGCGUGUGGUCGCUGGUGCUGAUGAAGCAUAGCUUAUCAGCAUGCUGACAUGCAAGGCAUCGUCAGCAUUCGAAUCCAGUCAUCCCGA
rnacentral:tRNA from 1 species